rnacentral:rRNA from 1 species
UACGUAGGGCGCAAGCGUUGUCCGGAAUUAUUGGGCGUAAAGAGCUCGUAGGCGGCUUGUCACGUCGAUUGUGAAAGCCCGAGGCUUAACCUCGGGUCUGCAGUCGAUACGGGCUAGCUAGAGUGUGGUAGGGGAGAUCGGAAUUCCUGGUGUAGCGGUGAAAUGCGCAGAUAUCUGGAGGAACACCGAUUGCGAAGGCAGCUCGCUGGGACGUAACUGACGCUGAGACGCGAAAGCGUGGGGAGCAACA